rnacentral:rRNA from 1 species
UAACACGUAGGGAACCUGCCCAUGCGGCCGGGACAACUUCCGGAAACGGAUGCUGAUACCGGAUAAGGAAAGCGAAGGCAUCUUUGCUUUGUUAAAGGAGCUGCAAGGCUCCGCGCGUGGAUGGACCUGCGGUGCAUUAGCUGGUUGGUGAGGUAAAGGCUCACCAAGGCGACGAUGCAUAGCCGGCCUGAGAGGGCGAACGGCCACACUGGGACUGAGACACGGCCCAGACUCCUACGGGAGGCAGCAG